GACGAACGCUGGCGGCGUGCCUAACACAUGCAAGUUGAGCGACGAACCAGGGCUUGCCCUGGGGCAAAGCAGCGAACGGGUGAGUAACACGUGGGUAACCUACCCCGAUAACCGGGACAACCCGAGGAAACUCGGGCUAAUACCGGAUGUGCUCACUGGACUUCGGUUCAGUGCGUAAAGGAAGCUUCGGCCUCCGUAUCGGGAGGGGCCCGCGGCCCAUUAGUUUGUUGGUGAGGUAACGGCUCACCAAGACCGCGAUGGGUAGCUGGUCUGAGAGGACGAUCACCACCACGGGACUGGAGACACGGCCCAAACCCCUAGGGGAGGGAGGAGGGGGGAAUCUUGCGAAAGGCGAGAAGGGGGGACGAAGCAACGCCGGGGGGGGGAAGAAGGCCUCGGGGUUUUAAACCCCUUUCAGGGGGGACGAAGGGUGGGCGGUGAAAAGCCGGCCGGACGGACGGUACCCCCACAAGAAGCCCCGGCGAAAUACGG
rnacentral:rRNA from 1 species